UUUCCUUUGAAUUUACCAAUUAUAGAACAAAACUUGAUUGAUAUCACAAUGGAGAAAUUUACUCCAUUAUUUCAUAAUUUUUAAUAUAAAAAAAUGAGUAAAUGCUAUAUACGAAUAACUGAUUUUGUUUGGUGGGGAUGCAGAGCUGACAUAUCAGGAACCUGUUUAAAUCCUGCAAGAGCUUUCGGUCCAGCUGUGAUGACCAACUACUGGACCUACCACUGGGUCUACUGGGUCGGGCCUAUUGGAGGGGGAAUGGCGUCCGCGGCUUUGGUCAGGCUCAUCCUGGGAGACAAUAAGUUACGAGUUGUUAUGAAACCACGAGGACUCUCUUUACUGUCAUGGAGGUGAUAUUGAAGUCGUAAACAUUAUCAGUGCAUGCUUUUCCAGUCAUAUAAUGUUUCAUCUUUUUUUUGCUAUAUUUUCUUAUUUCAUGCUGACUUUUGCAAGAGCUGAUUUUUUUCAUGUGUAAUAAAAACCAAAUGUAACUUUUC